GUUGAGAUUCUCUUCCUGUUGGACUCUGCCUGAGCCAUUACAUUCAGACCUCACCUAUGACCAUGGUGUGAGAAGGUGCAGACUCCUUGUUGGAUUUCCUUAAAGCUCCUUUCAUAGCUUCUACAUGGAUAACCAGUAACUAUGCCUCAACCGAGAGAGAGAGAGAGAGAGAGAGAGAGAGAGAAAUCAUCCACUGCUUCAUUCUCCAAAUGUCCAUAAUAGGAGCUGCGCCAGGCUGAAGCGGGGAGCCACGGACUCAGUUCAAGUCUCCCAGAAACAAUUCUAAGAACAUAUCUUGCCUUUGGUAAUGGCAUGUAUGUGCAAUUAACAGCUCCAAGUUGAGAAAAAGCCUCCUUUUAGCUAUCCAGAGCUUACACAGGAAGACGACCUCUGCUUUGACCCUGGGAAAAAGAGUGUUUCUUCACAAUCAACAUUCAGCGCAUUUCCCUAAUUAAUGCAAUUUGAUAAAAUGAAACAAAUUCAUGAUGUCAUUAACUGAGUUCUGCCUAAUGAAGUUGAGUUGUAUGAAACAUUAACCGCAGAGCAGAAUCCAUUUCUGUGGCCAGGGAAACACACAUUUUUUCAUUUCAGAACAUUUACUUUGGAAGUACCAAUCAUGAAGGCUUAUCACUACAAUCAUCAUGUCUUGACAAAUCAACAUAAAUUAACAUUUUGAUCAAUGCCAUCAUUAAGCCCAGUCUGAGAAAAAAAGGAUAUCACUCUGGUAAAAUGGCACCAGCAAACUUGCCUCUUGACAAGAUGAUAAGAGGCUGCUAGGUGGACAGUUUUCGCUUUUCCAUUUGAAGCUGCAUUUAUCAUACUGAGCUUGACAAUAACCAUCAAUGAGCUUCAAAUCAUGAAAGGGGAGUUUACCUUCACAGACACAAUGUGAAUAGCAGUUUUAAAAGAAGGCAAAAGAGCAGAACGCUGCUAAAAUUAACAGGAAAUCUACACACACCCUCCUUCAUUAGAAGUCUCUUCCAGUGGUGCUAUUUAUAUUCCAAGAGGAUGUAUGUGUGCAUUUCUUAUGUAAGAUCAUAUACUGGGAUUAUGAACAUAGACCUUACAUAUUUUUAGAACCUUUACCUUCUAAAGAAGAAAUAAAUAUGCAAACUUAAUUCAUGCCUAGUAAGAAACUUAUGAAUCCAAUAAAUUCAAAUA